CCUACGGGUGGCAGCAGUGGGGAAUAUUGGACAAUGGGCGAAAGCCUGAUCCAGCCAUGCCGCGUGUGUGAAGAAGGCCUUCGGGUUGUAAAGCACUUUCAGUGGGGAAGAAAGCCUUGGGGCUAAUACCCUCGAGGAAGGACAUCACCCACAGAAGAAGCACCGGCUAACUCCGUGCCACAGCCGCGGUAAUACGGAGGGUGCGAGCGUUAAUCGGAAUUACUGGGCGUAAAGCGCGCGUAGGCGGUCUGAUAAGCCGGUUGUGAAAGCCCCGGGCUCAACCUGGGAACGGCAUCCGGAACUGUCAGGCUAGAGUGCAGGAGAGGAAGGUAGAAUUCCCGGUGUAGCGGUGAAAUGCGUAGAGAUCGGGAGGAAUACCAGUGGCGAAGGCGGCCUUCUGGACUGACACUGACGCUGAGGUGCGAAAGCGUGGGUAGCAAACAGGAUUAGAUACCCCAGUAGUC
rnacentral:rRNA from 1 species